rnacentral:rRNA from 1 species
CAGUCGCCACGGUAAUACGUAGGGUGCGAGCGUUAAUCGGAAUUACUGGGCGUAAAGCGUGCGCAGGCGGUUCGUUAAGACAGAUGUGAAAUCCCCGGGCUUAACCUGGGAACUGCAUUUGUGACUGGCGAGCUAGAGUAUGGCAGAGGGGGGUAGAAUUCCACGUGUAGCAGUGAAAUGCGUAGAGAUGUGGAGGAAUACCGAUGGCGAAGGCAGCCCCCUGGGCCAAUACUGACGCUCAUGCACGAAAGCGUGGGGAGCAAACAGGAUUAGAUACCCCCGUAGUCCCUGUCUCUUAUAC